UUGAAUAGACUUUUCAAAUAAAGUCAAUUCGGUAACUUGUGAGUAUCUCAACAAACAUCAUAACUAUAAUUUCUAAAUGCAGUCUUUUUUUCAAUCUGAAUUCCAGGUGACACACAAUCAGGCUCCUGCUGUGGCAGUGGACACGGAGACGCCUUUAGACUGGACUACCUCUGAUGGAUGUGACCCAAAUAGAGCUACAGUCAGGUGACACACAAUCAGGCUCCUGCUGUGGCAGUGGACACGGAGACGCCUUUAGACUGGACUACCUCUGAUGGAUGUGACCCAAAUAGAGCUACAGUCAGGUGGUCAACAAUCAGGCUCCUGCUGUCGCAGUGGACAACUCUUCAGAUAUGACUUCCCUUGGCGAAUGUCUCUCAAAUGCAGCUACAGACCAGAGAAACCCACUGCUGUAAAAAGAAACUGGAGACCACAGGAGUGUGCAGCUGUUGAACGACAUUCAAGGAGAUUUAUUGUACUUAACAAAGUUCCUGGGAAAAUGGACUGUCAGCGCUGCAUUUCAGCCGAGCCUCAAGCCCUGAGUGACAGAGACUGGAGAGCAGUCAAGUAUUUCAUUAAAAAUAGAAUAACAUCUCUGAAAAACAAAAUGUUGUAAAAAGUGAAAAGUAGACUAAUGUUGAUAUUUUCUUUGAGGAAAUCCUAUUAAAGUUGUGGGUGGCACUUUAUAAUAAGAACACACUAUUUAACAUUAUUAAAGCAUGAAUACACAUUGAGUUCAUCAUUUAUAAAGCAUUAUUCAAACAUGAAUCCUCAUUAGUAACUCGGUAUGCAAUUCAUUCAUUCACAGUUAUAAAUGUUUAAUUCUUGAUUAAUAAGAGUAGGGUUUCACACUUUAUAAAUGAUGGAUUUGUCAUUUGUAAAUGAAGUAUUAAGGACUUAUAGAUGAUUACGAAAUAAUUUGUAAAGUGUUAGUAAAUUAUUUUAAAAAGCAGCAAUUCAUGAUUAAUUCAGGUAGUUACUACUCAUUAGUUAAGUAUUAGUUAAGCAUGUUCUGUGGACUAAUUUAAAGUGAAGACUAUUUAUGCUUUACAAAGCACUUAUAAGCAGUCUCAAAGCUAGCAUAAGUCUCAGUUAUCUUCUUAACAGAAAAAGGAAAUAGACACAAGACAAAUAUGUGAAUAUGCAUUCACAUAUUUACGUAAAUAUGAUGGUGCUGGG